ensembl:lncRNA
GCCAGUGCAUCUGUGACAAAUUUAAAAUGGAAAGAGCUGUGGUUUUUACCUAACAUAGUUUUAGCAUCCCACAUUAAGGUGUCAACCGAUACUUGCUGUAGAUCAUGUUGAUGAGUUCACAUUGCAGGAUGUGAGAAUAAAAUCCUUUUAAAGGCAUAUAGUGCUGUUUACAGAGAUUCAGAGAGGCAUGCGGUAUCACAGUCAGUCUAGUGAGAAUAGAACUUGGAAUUAUCUGUGUUGGGUGUCUUGAUGAAUUAACUUAUCUAAUCUUUUGUGAUGAUAUAGUAAUAUAAUGGGACAUUUUCAAUGAUUUAAAGGAACUCUCAAUGCUGUCUUUUUGCAUAUAUUGCAAAACACACCUCAAAAGAUUCUCUUCUAUUAUCAACAGUUUAGCCCCGAGAUGAUUUUCUGGGCUACACUUAGUAACUACAAAAACAGCAGCCCAAAGCCCUUCAUGCCUGCCGCCACAGAGAAGAACUCCAGGUGCUGGGAAAAAAGACCAGAAAUAUACCAUCCAGGUGCCAGUGGUGAAUUCACAUGCCAGAGAGUAAGAAGACAUCUUAUUUUAAAUAUGAAGAUGAUUUUGAUCUACAUGAUCAUCGCAGCUCCAGCAAUGACCGCUGUGGCACAAGGGUCUUCAGAAUGCAAUCUAACUGAACCUGGGCCCCAGACAUGUUUUGGAGUUUUAGGAGAACCGCUCGUUUUUUACAUACCUACUAAACCACAUAUAAAGACAAGCUUGAAAAAGAGUACAGAUAAGAUUUUAAUGUUAAUAAAUGAUAAAUUAGUUAGUCUCAAUGAAAAAUACAAGAAUCGUACUAUAUUCUCCACAAAUGGAACAUUGAAGCUCAACAAAGCAACAAAAAAUGACUCUGGAGAGUACAGCAUGGAAACACACAAUUCUACUGAAGGUGUGUUAUUGUACACAGUUAACAUCCAUCUACAUAUACUAGCUCCUGUGUCAGAACCAGCUGUUACGCAGAUGUGUUUGUCACCAAAACAGAUGACAGUCAGCUGUUUCUCUGAAGGAGACGAAGUAGAGUUCAUUUUGUCUUUGGAUGAUAAGUUGUUGAUACAGUCUACAGCUGACGGUAUAGAAAACAACAACAUUUCAAAUGUUACCAUCAACUUACCUGGUCAGCUGAUGGGAAACCUGACAUGUGUUGCUCAAAACAAUGCCAGCAGAAAACAAACUAUCACCCACCUUACAAGCUGCACAGCUCCUGUGUCAGAACCAGCUGUUUCGCAGAUGUGUUUGUCACCAAAACAGAUGACAGUCAGUUGCUCCUCUGAAGGAGAUGAAGUAGAGUUCACCUUGUUUUUGGAUGAUAACUUGUUGAUAAAAACCCAACCCAGCAUUGCAGAAAACCACAACAUUUCAAAUGUUACCAUCAGUUUACAUGGUCAGCUGAUGGGAAAUUUUAUGUGUAUCGUCCAAAACAACAUCAGCAGAGAACAAACCAUCAUCCACCUUAUAAGCUGCACAGAGAGUCUCCCAGACUUGUUCUCUAAAAACCUAAAGAAGAAUUGUGGAUUUGAUCUGGUCCCUUAAAGAAACCGACAGCUCCUGGGCUGGGGAAAGCACGAUUGUCAUGCGGAGAUGUUUGCUGCCGGAUACUCGAUGGUCGGUUGCUUUGUGUGUCUGGCGACACUCUCGAUGGAGGACAUUGAACGACAUGUACCAAUUCGGAACCACGAUAACAGAGUUCUGGCUGAUUGAGCUGGCUCGGACCUGGCUUAUCGAAGAACAAGAAGCGGCUACAGCUGUUCAAAAUCCCAUAAGGCUGGCCGAUAUGAUAGACGAUGGGCAGGGCUGUGAGUACUCAGACUGUUUUUUUGAACGCAAUAUGGAUAAGAUCUUGGAGAAGCUCAUGGCUCUGCUAUAUGGAUAACAUCUUGAAGAAGAACAAUGGGAAUUGAGAGACCUGGUGACCAGUGACGGACAUUAGACCUUCUGUAAAAUUGGAUGCAGUUUGUUCGCACUAACCAAAACAACUACCAUCUUCAUCUCAUGCGGCCCCCCUGGCGCCAGCUGGAUGCUCAAGGCAAAAGCUGACGGGAAUAACAAAUUCUCCCUUAGAUAACAAAACUGUGUUGUGACUUUCUUCCCCCUCAUUCAAGGCCACCCGUGUCCACCGAAGAUUGUUGACUUUUGCCUAACUGAGUGAAGGGACACUUUCACAUACGCAUGUACACUGACACAUACCUACACUCACCCCUCCACCCCCUCCAAACGCCUUCGAAGCUUAUGUCUUCUAUGUUGUGAGAUGUAAUGAUUCAUGUGCUAUGUGCUGAGGUGUUUUUUUCUGUUCUCAGACUGAUCUCCCUGUUGGAGCUCAGUCUGGGGGGAGUUCUUUUUUCUCCUCGUCUUUCCUCAUUUUGUGCAUUUUCCAUUGUUAUACCUCUCUGACUUGUCUUCCCCAUGUGAUGCUGUGUAAUGAAUGUAUGGUCGGAAGGGUAAGAUGGCCCUGGCAAAAGGUCGGCAGCCUUAACCCAAUUUCCUUCGGGGUCAACCUUCGGGAUCAAUAAAGUUUUAUUGAAUUGAAUUGAAUUGAAUUGAAUUGAACAUUGUAGCCCAGUAAACUAUAUUUACAUUAUUUCAGUACUUCUUAAUGGUUUUAAUUUCUAGGUAAUAUUUCUGACCACUGCAUUGUGACCAUGGCUGUGGUAGUAAGCAUUGCCAUUCUACUCAUUCUGGCUGUGUUUCUUGGUAUCCGGAAAUUCAAAAACACAACUGGCAUUAUGACUGUUCAUGAAGAUGAAGCUGAAGAGGACGUUGUCUACUCAGAUAUUAGACUGAAGCAGCGUGCAAGAGAAACAAGAGAAACACCACCUAUUUCAAAUCAAGAUGAAAGUUAACGUUCUCCUAAACAGUCUGACAUUCUGAAACCUAAAACCUAACAUGUUGACUUUCGGUCAACUGGCUAAUAAAACUAUGCCAGUUUAGCAGUUCCAUCUUUGCAGUGAACGUGAAGGUAAACAUAUUUAACAAGCACUCACUGGAUUACUUUAAUUUUGAAGAAAACAUAAAGGGGAAAAAGUUAUUUCGAAGGCAUUUAAUAUACAUGAAAUACUUAUUUAUACUUAUUUAUAAAUGCUUUAUAUUUGAACUACAUUUUAUUUGACAUAAUUUAAAUAAACUACAUCAACCUUGUAAAAGUUCUAACCAACAUUUUACAUUUAACCUUGGAGAUUGAAUAAAAGGCUUUGGUCAGUGAUGGUGCUUUCCUUGUGUUGUGUUAAGCAGACGUGGGCUGUGCCUCAUGUUUGAGAUAAAAACAUCAGGGCUACUUUUUUCUGUGUUGUCAUGACAUUAAAACCACAAACUAUAUCCUGUUUUCACUGAGCUGCUAAACCUCUAAACCAUGUGACAUUACCUAAGCUGCACAGUUGUCAGUGAGAAAGGAAAAAUACCUGUAUAAUGCAUAAAACACUGGCUUGUUUGUUGACGAUUAUUGAUCAUAGUAGAGACUUAAGAGAUCUAAGAUCAUGAAAAGAAGGUUUUAAUUUUUUUGAAGAUGUUUUACCUCUCAUCAGGUGGAAAGUACCUGUUAUCUAACCCCUAGUAGGGGCUGUCCCUUAGGAGGUGAUCAUUGAUCCACUAUUAAUCAUCUGCGACAUGACAUUAGCCAUGGUGUGUAAAAAGGCAUGGGCCAUUACCACCAAAGGUUUUGGAUGAAACCACUGUAAGACCUUUACCCUAUCAUGUGACCUAUUGAGGGAUCUCAGGACUGCGUUGUGGGUAGCUGACAGUUGGUGUCGUAAGCUGCUCGCUCUGUUCAAAGGUGGUUGUUCACAGUGGAAAUAGAUGGUCUCUUUUGCUCCUCUUUUAAACCAACCAUCUGUCUUUUCAGUCCAAAAUGUGAACAUUGGCAUCCCUGAAAUAGUGACUUUGUCCUUUAGGUGCAGAUGUACAGCUGAGUCUUGUCCUGUCGAGGUGGCUCUUCUAUGUUGUGUCAUGUAUUUGUCGAGUGGCUAUGCCGUUUCUCCAGUGUAGAGCUCACUGCACUGCACAGCAUAUGCUUUGUUGUUUGUCUUGUGUUUUGGAUGACUGAGAACCAACAAAGACAUCAAGCAGCAAUACAAAAACAUGAAGGGCACAAACUCCCCUGCAGGCAAUUCUUCUAAGUAGUAUUUUAAUAUAGUUUCAUUAUCUUGUGUAAGGUGACAUAAAUCCAUCAAUAAUUUAUUUUAUAUGCUUGACAUGUGUGAAAGAGUCAGUACAUGGAGUUUGUGAGACACGUAUAACUGUGUGUGUUUGGUCGGCAACCUGGUGAUGCAAUUAAAAUUUCAUUGUGUUUUCAAAUGAAAAUAAAGGCUUUGAAUCUUGUUGACCAACAUUUAGAUUUUCAGUAAUAUUUGUCCAGUUUUGUGAUCCUAUGGCAUUUUUGAAGUAUAAAAAAGUCUGUGCUCUCCUCAUGUUUUACAUAAAUCUGCCUCAAAGUGUUACAUUUAUUCUCUGUAUGUAUCUCAAUCAUACAAACCAUUAUGUUUAAGUCAAGCAUAACGUAGAAAGGAACAACGCUGUAAUAACCUCGCAUUAAACAAGAAUUGGUGUUUUCCUUUACAUGUAUUAUUUGGUGAUUUGUGAUAAUUCUGUGAUGAUCUAGUAAAAGCUGUAGCCUUUAAUAGUAAAUGUAAAAAUGCAUAGUAUCAGCACUCAUCACAUGGUGGAGCC